rnacentral:lncRNA from 1 species
GUGAGGCGGUGACUAGAGGAAUGACCCUGGGCGGGUUUGCAAUUUAAGCUGUUGGUGGAGGACAGAUUAGUUAAGGGGAGGAGCGGGGCCUCAGCUUGUAGACAACGGGCCGCCGUUACGGAAAGCCAGAAGGAAAAGGAUAAGGACCUUUAUGUGAUUGGCAGUGGGCAUCCGAAGAAGCUAGAAUCCUAAAGUAUUCAGGAUGCCAAAUCAACUGAUUUAGACAGCUUCGUUUAAACUGGCCACAGACGAAGGACUGAGGAUGAUAAAUUGCACAAAUAUCUGUUGAAUGAGAACUAGAAGGAGGAUGACUUCAAGAAAACAACUUUGUGAGACUUGAGAUGUUCAAAAAUAUAAGCUCAGAGAAGUUCAAGACUUGCUACGAAUCGUCAAGGAGCAGAGGCAAACUUGAACUCAAGCUUUAUGUUGAGACUCUCAAAUGCUCUGUUCUUUGGCCAUCAUUCUGUCUAUUCUGGAUUUCAGCUCCUCCUGUCUACUUGAGGACCCUUCUCCGUCAAUUAUUCUCUUUUUGUUGUAUCUUCAACCUCUCACUCUGCUGGUUUCUUGCCAUUAGCGUUCUCAUUUGUUUAAAGUGUCUCCCUCAUACAUAUCCUGUCUUCCUCUAGCUUCUACCCAAAUUCUCCUUCCUUUCACUAAAGGAAAUUUUUGAGAAAAUUUUGUGUGCUUGCUGUCUCUACUUCCUCACCUCCAAGUUAUUCCUCAAUCAUUUGUAAUCAGG